rnacentral:rRNA from 1 species
CUUUGAACGCCUUAGAGAUAAGGUUUCUCCUUCGGGAGCAAAGAGACAGGUGGUGCAUGGCUGUCGUCAGCUCGUGUCGUGAGAUGUUGGGUUAAGUCCCGCAACGAGCGCAACCCUUAUUGUUAAUUGCCAUCAUUUAGUUGGGCACUCUAGCGAGACUGCCGGUGACAAACCGGAGGAAGGUGGGGAUGACGUCAAGUCAGCAUGCCCCUUAUGACCUGGGCUACACACGUGCUACAAUGGGAAGUACAGAGAGACGCAAGACCGCGAGGCUAAGCAAAUCUCAUAAAGCUUCUCUCAGUUCGGAUUGUAGGCUGCAACUCGCCUACAUGAAGCCGGAAUCGCUAGUAAUCGCGGAUCAGCACGCCGCGGUGAGUACGUUCCCGGGCCUUGUACACACCGCCCGUCACACCACAGAGAGUUUGUAACACCCGAAGUCGGUGAGGUAACCUUAUGGAGCCAGCCGCCUAAGGUGGGACAGAUGAU